CUCUCCUUGAUCAGAUAACCUAUCCUCUUGUCGUUUCCUUACCAAAUCCAAACCUCAAAACCAAUUCUGCCUGAGUUUCGUUUUAAUUUACCCUGUGCGCAUCAGAAAGAAUCAAAUCUUACCUUCUCUCUCGACCAUGGAUCCAUCCAAAGUUGUCACCUUUUCCCGGAACUUGGCCGUCUUGGUCAAACUCCAAGGCCCUGACCCAAAGGGAUUGAAGAUGAGGAAACAUGCUUUCCAUCAAUACCAUUAUGGGAAUACAACACUUUCAGCUUCUGGGGUGUUGUUUCCAAGAAGUAUCUUGUGUGAAGAUGGUCAGGACAUGGCGCUGGUUUUGACUGUUGCCUCUCUUGUUGAGCCCUUCUUAACUUUGGCACAUAGAGCUAGUAUCUCUCAGGAGGCGGUGAAGUUGAUUCCUGGUGCUCGGAUUGAGAUCAUGGUGGAGGGUCAGUUAAACUCGGAGAAGGAAGAUCCUUUUUGGGUUCCUGCGCAACUUCUUUCCUUGGUUGAUGUCCCUGCAUCUUCUGCUGCACUCCAGUCUCUUAUUGAGACUUCUGUUGGUUCAAAAGAUUCUGGUUGGGAUGUUGGUUGGUCUUUGGUAUCUGGUGAUGCCGUUUCUCAGCCUUCAACCAAUAUGAAACAUUACAGCAAGCCCUUGAUGCAACGUGAUGAGCCAAAUGAUGCUAAGUUUAUGGCCAAGUCUGCCACUCGAAUGGCUCUUCUAGGAGUCUCCUUAAGCUUACUGGGUCAGCCAAAGAUAAAUCUCGCUUCCCCAAGUAGCAAGGGUGAUACACUUGUAACACUUGGCUCUCCUUUCGGAAUCCUUUCACCUCUACACUUUUUUAACAGCGUAUCAACUGGUUCCAUCUCGAACUGCUAUUCUUCUGGAUCGCUAAAGAAUUCACUGAUUAUAGCUGAUGUUCGAUGUCUCCCUGGUAUGGAAGGGGCUCCAGUUUUUGGUAAGAAUGGUCACUUAAUUGGCAUUCUGAUUCGACCGCUAAGACAAAAGAACAGUGGCGUUGAAGUCCAGCAGCUGGUGGUUCCAUGGGGAGCAAUCACAGCUGCUUGCAGCCACUUACUGCUUGAGGAACCAUCACAUGAGAUAUUACGUAUCAAACCAGAUGCUAGUAUUCCUGUACAAGUGGCUGUUGGGAAAGCGAUGGAAUCGAUUUGUCUGAUCACGGUCAACGAUGGUGUCUGGGCAUCCGGUGUUGUUCUCAACGAACAAGGUCUCAUACUAACAAACGCUCACCUUCUUGAGCCGUGGAGGUUUGGAAAAGGUGGCCUAGUAUAUGGUGAAGGAGACGACAAUGGUUUAAGACCUCAUGUCUUAGGAGCUGAGGAGUUUUCUUCCACGAGAAGUAGAUUUUGGGAACAGGAGAGUCAAACACUGCCACGAAAAGCUCCAACAGAUCUUCAUGUCAAGAAGUACAAGCACAAUUUCCUUCAGAGUGGGCAUAGAGACAUUCGUGUACGGUUGUGUGAACAAGAUUCUUGGACUUGGUGUCCUGCUAAAGUGGUCUAUAUCUGCAAGGAACAGUUGGAUGUUGCCUUACUGCAGCUAGAAGAUGUUCCUGGAAAGCUCCAACCUAUUGCUGCCGAUUUUUCUUCUCCUCCUUUGGGAACACCGGCACAUGUUGUUGGACAUGGACUCUUCGGACCUAGAUGUGGGCUUUCUCCUUCUGUUUGUUCCGGAGUUGUAGCAAAGGUAGUCCACACAAAGAAGAGAUUGUAUGCGCAACUCAUUUUACAAAAUGUCAGAGAGUUCCCUGCAAUGCUAGAAACAACAGCAGCUGUGCAUCCUGGUGGUAGUGGUGGUGCUGUUGUCAAUUCAAGUGGCCAUAUGAUUGGACUUGUUACCAGCAACGCAAGACAUGGAGCAGGGACAAUUAUACCGCAUCUCAACUUCAGCAUCCCAUGCGCAGUCUUGGCACCAAUCUUCAAGUUUGCACAAGAUAUGCAAAACAUGGAGAUCCUUCAAACACUAGAUCAACCAAACGAAGAACUCUCAUCGAUAUGGGCUUUGAUGCCAUCACUGUCACCAAAGCCUAAGCCAAACACUGAGCACUCUCUACCAAAGUUACUGAAAGAUGUUAAUAACAAACAAAAGAAAGGAUCACAGUUUGCCAAGUUCAUUGCAGAGUCCCAAGAGAUGUUUGUAAAGCCGACCAAGCUUUCCCGCGAUGUGAUCCCAAGCAAGUUAUGACAAAAUGGCAUUCUCUGCAGGGUUUCUCUCUAGCUUGUGGAUGAAGAUUACAAUGUGCUGAUCGGUUGUUAUAUUACUAAGAAGACUAGCGUUGCCGGGAGAAAACAUAGAUCAUGUGGAUCUCAAUGUUUAUAUUACAUUCUUGAUGGCCUAAAUGAAGAAUAUAUAACUCAAAUGUCAACGUAGCAAACGCCAGAGGAACCCCAAUAUCAUUUGUCGAGCUUCAUCAGAAUCGAUUGAGCCGAGAUGUUGAUCUCUUGCAUCUCUAAUCUGAAUUCCUAAACUGAUAUUAAAGCCAGGUUGACACGAUGGACGGUUUCCCACGUUUUAAAUGAUAUGUUUUUAGCAGUGUUUUGAAAUGAUGGAUCGAGGAACUAAUAUCUGCAAUCAAAAUUUUAUAGUAAAUUCAAAACAGUA